rnacentral:rRNA from 1 species
CGCGUAGGCGGCUUUGUAAGUCGGAUGUGAAAGCCCCGGGCUUAACCUGGGAAUUGCAUUCGAUACUGCAGAGCUAGAGUAUGGUAGAGGGAAGUGGAAUUCCGGGUGUAGCGGUGAAAUGCGUAGAUAUCCGGAGGAACACCAGUGGCGAAGGCGACUUCCUGGGCCAAUACUGACGCUGAGGUGCGAAAGCGUGGGGAGCAAACA